GCCGGGUGCGGUGGCUCAUGCCUGUAAUCCCAGCACUUUGGGAGGCUGAGGUGGGUGGAUCACCUGAGGUCAGGAGUUCGAGACCAGCCUGGCCAAGAUGGUGAAAACCCAUCUCUC
rnacentral:SRP_RNA from 2 species